AUCUGCUACUGUAUCAACCGGAUUUCGGAAUAAAAAUGGCGACCGAUGGUUGUUUCUUUUUCCGAAAAGAGGGUGAAUCCGGACAUUGGACUCCGCUCUCUCUCUUUUCGGAAUGCAUCCUAAUCCGAAACGGUUCGGUGACACACACGGGCUCUGCUUUCAUAAAUCGCCAGGACUUGAAAGGAUGUUACCUUUUUUCGCCGUGGCAAUGGAGGAGCACUGGACAAACAUCGUUAGCGAAAGCCAAAGUAUGAUGCGGAUGGAAUUAAGUGCAUAAAUUGAAGGAAGAAAUGUGUUUGCACAGAGGUAUUAUUAUGCAAAUUGGGGAUUUAUUUAAGGGUUUAGAAAUAGGUAAAUUUGGCUUGGCGCUUGUAAAUAGAUGGUAGAAGAGGUAGAGCUCGUGUGACUGCAGGAAAUGGGCUUUGAAUAAUUUGUUCCCAAACCCAUAAUUCAAUGUUUUUUUGGAACAUGCUCUUAGAACUCAAUAGUUUAUUUUUUUCAUUAUAAAAAUGAUCAACAAAUUUCGCCUGAAAUUUUUGUUUUUAUUUUCAGGAAUAAGAACUCCAAGAAUCACUUCAACUUUCCCGUGGAUACUUGAGCGAAUCCUGCAAGAUAUCCUAUGUUAGAAAUUUCGUUCCUCUAAUCUGCAGGGACUUCUUCAGAAAUGGUUAUAUAAAUCUCCGAUAAAGUUCAACCUUACCUUGGAUAUUAUUAUGAAAAUCCAUCAAGCAUUGAAAAAUAACAUCAGGAAUCAUUUGUAAGAUCUUUCUUGAAAUUUUAUGUGCGAAUUUUAAAAUGACAUCAAUAUCCAAAUCGAUUUCACUCGGUUAUGAUCGGUUCAACUUGGUGGGGUUCUAACAUUUUUGAGCAUGGUACCUUCCCGGCAAAAAAUACGUGGCUUUUUAAGUUAUUUUUUGAGACUAUUCAAUCUUGUUUCCUAUCAUAAACGGAUUUAAUUAUUAACAAAUAAAUCUUAAACUUGAACAAACAUUUCGAUAUACCUGUAAGUUUGUAGCUCAAACUCUGGAAAGUCCACAAAAAAUAUUGCAAGGG